UUUGGAUAUAAACACUGUUAACAGUUAAUUGAGAAAAGAGAAAUGGGAGAGGUGUCAAAGAACUGGGACAUCAGUAAAUACGUGAACAGAGUAAAUCUGUCAUUUCUGUAUUGCAUAUAUGUGAUGUUGUUGAGUGGUAGUUAUUACGCAUUUUCCAGCUACGGGAAAGAGUUGGCAUCGAAACUUGACUACACGCAGACGCAGGCGAACGUGGUGUCUUCGGUUUCGGCAAUAUUUAGCAACGGAAGCGCCAUAUUUGGCAUCGUUUUAGACAGGUUCAACUUUCGUUUCUCUAUAAUAUUUGCGGGCAUAAUUGCGACGCUGGGAUACGUAUUGGCUGGCUUUGCAUGUCAGAUGAAGAUAAAUUAUCAUUAUACGCUGGUGACCCUUUACAUCGGCUUGGUAAAUCUGGGUAACAUGGGUGCAUACCUGACGGGGUUGAAGGUGAACAAUGCGAAUGUGACACAGCGGUCUGGAGGGAGUGCUAAGCGGCAUUCUUGUGGCCUCAUACGGAUUGAGUGCGGUGCUUGUAUCUUUGAUCUAUAAAGGAGUGGGUUCGGUAGAUAGGUUUAUGUACGUCAUGAGUGCCAUAACGGGUGCAUCGUUCUUGUUGGGAUCGCUGGUUAUGUACGUCACACCGAAGAGACAAGAAGACAAUGAUGAUGAAACCAAAAAGAAGACGGUGCUUGUAUCUAGUUUGCCCGGUCGUUUCAGCACAAAAUCUUUUUUGUCAUGGCACCUAGUUAUGUUCGUCUUGAAUUCUGGGAUGGCGCCUGCGGCCAUUCUUACUGUGCAGUCCACAGCUUGGUCGCAAAUUUACUCGUACCAAUAUGAGAAUUCACUGAGUCCUUACAUCGCUACUAUCAUAUUCUCAAUUUGCAGCUGUAUUGGCCGUUUCGCUUCAGGCCUAAUUGUGUUCAUCUUUGCAAAGCGCAUAUAUUUUGCCACGUUGGGCAUUGUUGCGUCGAGCGCUACGUUUGUUCUUUUGGUAUUUCAAAUGUUCAUUGACAGCUACAUCUUUUUCGCGAUCUUCAUGGCUGGCCUUGGCUUCGUAUAUGGGAUUAUGCUCACUGCCAUUCCCGUAAGUGUUAGAAAUUAUUUUGGAUUCAAAAGGUUUGGUAUUUAUUUGUCUCUAUCUCUUAGUCCCCUGUCACUCGUACUUGCUCUUUAUUCGUUCAUUUCAGGAAGGAUAUACGACAGCCUUGUCAACACGACUGACAAAAAAUGCGUCGGUAAAAAACUGCUACUUGUACACUUACAUUAUGUUGGCUUUCUUUGCUGUGAUCGGGAUCUUCAUCAACAUCUGGCUGUUUUUCCAAGAGAAGUCGCACACGGUAAAGGAAUCAAAAGAUGACACCUUAUGAUUGCCGCCCCAAAUAAACAUGCAGAACAGGUGCACAUCCAA